AUCAAUUAUGUUUAUCAAAGUAUCAUGAUAAGUGUAUACUUGCGUAUAUGAUUUGCACCCAGUUGACACUGGAGCAUGUAUGGUAGAUUUUCGGGGAUGUGGGGGAUAUAUGGUCACAUGACAUGACAUGAUAUCCCCCACAUACCCGAUAAGCUUACGUUGCAUAAUGAUCCUUCCGCAGGUUCACCUACGGAAA
rnacentral:misc_RNA from 1 species